CCUACGGGAGGCAGCAGUGAGGAAUAUUGGUCAAUGGUCGGGAGACUGAACCAGCCAAGCCGCGUGAGGGAUGAAGGUACAGAGUAUCGUAAACCUCUUUUGUCAGGGAACAAAGGCGGGGACGCGUCCCCGGAUGAGUGUACCUGAAGAAAAGCAUCGGCUAACUCCGUGCCAGCAGCCGCGGUAAUACGGAGGAUGCGAGCGUUAUCCGGAUUUAAUGGGUUUAAAGGGUGCGCAGGCGGUCUGUUAAGUCAGCGGUCAAAGCCCGGGGGUCAACCCCGGCCCGCCGUUGGAACUGGCAGGUCUCGUGUGGGAGGGAGGUAGGCGGAGUGCGCGGUGAAGCGGAGAAGUGCAUA
rnacentral:rRNA from 1 species